rnacentral:rRNA from 1 species
AUUGAACGCUGGCGGCAGGCCUAACACAUGCAAGUCGAGCGGAUAAAGGGAGCUUGCUCCUGGAUUCAGCGGCGGACGGGCGAGUAAUGCCUAGGAAUCUGCCUGGUAGUGGGGGAUAACGUCCGGAAACGGGCGCUAAUACCGCAUACGUCCUGAGGGAGAAAGUGGGGGAUCUUCGGACCUCACGCUAUCAGAUGAGCCUAGGUCGGAUUAGCUAGUUGGUGGGGUAAAGGCCUACCAAGGCGACGAUCCGUAACUGGUCUGAGAGGAUGAUCAGUCACACUGGAACUGAGACACGGUCCAGACUCCUACGGGAGGCAGCAGUGGGGAAUAUUGGACAAUGGGCGAAAGCCUGAUCCAGCCAUGCCGCGUGUGUGAAGAAGGUCUUCGGAUUGUAAAGCACCUUAAGUUGGGAGGAAGGGCAGUAAGUUAAUACCUUGCUGUUUUGACGUUACCAACAGAAUAAGCACCGGCUAACCUCGUG